CGCACUUCUCUUAACAUUGUUUGUUGUCUGUGCGAUAAUAUGAGAUACCAUCAACAAUUCAAUACACCUGGAAUUCGUUACUAAAACGGAUUUCCUUAAUGCUGAUGCUGCAGCUCAGUGGGUAAUUUGUGAUCUUGGAAGGUAAAAGUAAAUGGAAUAGAUCUAUACGACAUUAGGAAAGAAAGCAAAAGACCAUGGUAAAAUCAUAUCUGAUGUACUGUCACAUCAUCUACUUUGGAGACACCAAGGGAUGAUAUCAAUGAGAGGCCGAUUCUGGUAUGAACAAAGUACUCUUGUCUCUUGUUGACAAUUUUGCGAGUGAUUCUCUCUUUAUUAUUAAGUUCAUUGAUCAGCAAAAAGGCGGUGUCUUCUAUGUAUUGGUUAACGAAAUAUUAAAGUAGGAGAUCAUUGGAUCCAAUCAUCAAGCGGUCUGCCAUUUGCAUUGUAUAUCAGAUUAACUGCUAUCCAUUCUUCAUCAAUUUUCCUCUUGGCAACUACCACUAUCAUGUUACUGUUAAAGACCAAGACGAGAUCUUCAAGUUUCAAAGUGCCCCCUGGUAGAUGGAAUGAAGAAACCUUGGAUUUCGGAAUAAUCUUUGGGACUCUCAUGCGAUUUGACUGUUCCACGCCUAAUGUGUUGUUUAGGUCCAGCUCUUAAAUCCAUCUGAAGUGUUUUCUUGAGGCUGAGAAGAGACAAAAAGCG
rnacentral:lncRNA from 1 species